UACGGAGGGAGCUAGCGUUAUUCGGAAUUACUGGGCGUAAAGCGCACGUAGGCGGCUUUGUAAGUAAGAGGUGAAAGCCCAGAGCUCAACUCUGGAAUUGCCUUUUAGACUGCAUCGCUUGAAUCAUGGAGAGGUCAGUGGAAUUCCGAGUGUAGAGGUGAAAUUCGUAGAUAUUCGGAAGAACACCAGUGGCGAAGGCGAUCACCUGGGGUUGUUCUGACGCUGAGGAGCGAAAGCUAGGGAGCAAACGGG
rnacentral:rRNA from 1 species